rnacentral:rRNA from 1 species
AACUUAAAGGAAUUGACGGGGGCCCGCACAAGCAGCGGAGCGUGUGGUUUAAUUCGAGGCUACACGAAGAACCUUACCUGGGUUUGACGUCACGGUGGUAGGGAACCGAAAGGGGACCGACCUUCGGGAGCCGUGACAGGUGCUGCAUGGCUGUCGUCAGCUCGUGUCGUGAGAUGUUCGGUUAAGUCCGCUAACGAGCGCAACCCUCGCUGUAUGUUACAUGUGUCAUACAGGACCGCCGGUAUCAAGCCGGAGGAAGGUGGGGAUGACGUCAAGUCCGCAUGGCCUUUAUGUCCGGGGCUACACACACGCUACAAUGGUCGGUACAAUGGGUUGCUAAGCCGCGAGGUGGAGCCAAUCCCCCAAAGCCGGCCUCAGUUCAGAUUGCAGGCUGCAACUCGCCUGCAUGAAGCUGGAGUUGCUAGUAAACGCGCGUCAGCUAUAGUGCGUUGAAUACGUUCUCGGGCCUU